AAGAGGGAUGAAGGGGCCAGGGUAGGGGAGAAGAGAUUAGGAGGGGCAGAGUGAUUCAUGUGUUAGACAAGGGCCAAAUUUUCAAAGAGGAUGGAGCCAGAACCUCAGUGGAGUUAUGCCAGUAAACUCUAGUGGAGGAUUCUGGCCUAUGCCAUUCAGUUGAAUGUGCACCGCUUUGCAUGUCCAAAACAGCUGCCCUGUGCAGCUUUGCAGCUAUUAAGAACUGUGUGUUUGAGAAGUAAAUUCUAUCACUUGCUUGAUCACUUGACAGGGUUCAAAAAGUUCCACAUGUACACGCUCUUUUUUGGAUAUAGUCCAGUGGUAAUGUGGCAUUCAGCUAAUGAAAAGACACCCUUCUACCAGAGUACAUGGUCCAGGAGCUUACUGUUUGGUUUGUAGUGUAAGAGAAGUACCUCACAAUCUACUCUUGAUGGUACCAUUUUGAAUGCCCCAGAAAUUGCCACCUUCCAAUCUUCCGGUGUUGAUGCCACUAAAGACGUUCGUGUGCAAAGGCCAGUGGCUUUCUGUUGAUCUAGGGAAAAAACAGACAUGAGUUUGGAAGUUGGGGCAAUAUCCUAUAAUGCAUCACAGCUGAAAGGGUGCAAAUGCUUUUGGAUUCUGCCAAACCUUCAGCCAUCUGUGAAGUUACUCCAGAUGGUGGUGUUGAGAAUAUAGUUUGGCCUGAAGUAUUCUGUUAUGUGACCCCUCCAGUUCCGUCUCACUUUUGCCACUAACUGCUAUUGCUUAUGUUCCUCUCCAGGAGGAUACAGACAUGUCACUCUAUCUGAAGUUACCAUUGGCUCUGCUUCUUCUGUCAACUCACAAGGAUGCUCGGGAGAUGAUAGCAGCCUGCCAGGACCUUCCCAGAUUCUUUCCUAUUCUCAUGAAAGCAGAGAAAGCAUUUUUAAUCUUCAUGACUGACUCAGCAGAAAUUGAGAGAUUCAAAAAUGUUCCUUCCGCUCCAUGGUAACUAAUGUUAGUAUGAACAGAUUGCUUAGCCCAUACUCUCUCUCCCACAAUCUGUUGAAUACAUGAAUUAACACAGGCAUUUUCUGGCUCUCUCUGUUCCCUGAUGUUGUGGUUAUUGUUUAACAAUCAGAUCUAAAUGUUUGAUUCUGGGUUUCAUUCAGUACUAAUAUUACCGUAAAAGUAAAAAUCUAGAUCUGUCAACAUCAUACAGGCAUGAGAUACUCUCGUAUUGCUUACUGAUCCUGCCCUGUUCGCACACAAUAUGCAGUUCAGUAACAAUAUACAGCAACAUUCUCCAUUCUUAAAUAGUCCUAAAGCAGGCAAAAACUCUCAUCCAAGUUUCAGUCUCUGAUAAAGAUUUAAAACUGUCAAGAUUUUGAGAUUUGGCCCGUUAAAAAAAAACACAAGGUGGCGUGGUAUUGGCAUGCCUGUGGGAUACCUGCUGCUCAUCCCAAAUGAUUGAUUGUGACAGAAUAUACCCCUGUGUCCACACCCUAGACAGUAUUGUAAUGUUUGUACAAGGUAUACCUUGUGAGGUAUUUAAAAACUCAUAACUUGCUGAUCAAUAAUAUCAUGGUAAAAUGCACAUAGCAACAUUAUAUGUAAAGUUAUGAACAUAUGCUGCCAUCAUGGCUGUAAUAUGUUUCCCAGAUGAAUCUGGAGAGUGGCUAAACCAGUUUGUCAGCAACAAGAGACAAGCCGACGCCUCAGCCAGGUGUCAAAAAGGCUGACGGACCGUUACCUGCUAAGUCGUCAUUCUUUGGCAAGCAAGGGGGCAGGGACAAAAAUCUACAUCUGAGCAAAGAAACAGCAUGGAGUUUCCUCUCUUCACCAGACUGCCUACUGCCUUGCUCCCAGCUGGAAAUGCUUCUCAUAGUGGGGACAGGACUACAAACAGAUGGGGCAGACACCCCAAGACACCUCUCUUCUCCCUCCCUCUCUCUCUCUGGCAUACUCUUGGUGGGGGAGGAGUCCUGACCUGAGAGAUUGGUCAGUAAUCUGCUGGAGCAUGUGAUGUGAAACUUUGCUUGAAUCUAAUAUGGUUUGCUAAAUUAGACACUAGUAAAUCUAUUAUCUUUAUAUUUCUUGUAACCAUUUCUGACUUUAAUGCCUCAUUACUUAUACUCACUUAAAAUCUCUCUCUUUGUAGUUAAUAAACUUGUUUUAUUGUUUUACCUAAUCCA
ensembl:lncRNA